rnacentral:ncRNA from 1 species
UAAAAAUUAAAAUUUAGUUUUUAAGAUUGAUUUAUAUAUUAAUUAAAUAUAAAUAUUAAUUAAAUAAUUAAAAUUUUUAGUAUUAAUAAAAUUUAAUAGAAAUUUUUAAAAGAAAUUUUGAAUUAGAAAUAUAUAUAAGAAUUUAUAAAAUUUGUGCCAGCAAUAGCGGUUAUACAGAUAAUUCAAUUGAUUUAUAAUUAAUUUAUAAUAAAUAUAUAGUAUUAUAUUAAAUAGUUAAAUUUAUUAGUUGAAAUUUUAAAUUUAAAUAAUUUAUAUUAUUAUUUAUGAUUUAUUAAAUUUUAUAAUAAACUAGGAUUAGAUACCCUAUUAUUAAAAUGUAAAUAAAAAAGUUAGAUUAGUAUUAGUUAAAUUCUUCAAAAUUAAAAAUUUUGGCGGUAUUUUAAUUUUUCAGAGGAGCCUGCUUUAUAAUUGAUAAUCCACGAUAAAUUUAAUUUACUUUAAUAAUUUAUAUAUCGUCGUUAAAAUUAUUUUAUAAGAAAAUAAUUAAAAUUUAUUAAUUAAUAAAAUUAAUCAGAUCAAGAUGUAGUUUAUAGGUAAAUAAAAGUGGGCUACAUUAAAUAAAUUUAAUUAGAUAAUAAUAUGAAAUUAUUAUUUGAAAUUGGAUUUGAAAGUAAUAUAAUUUAUUUAAAUAAUAUGAUUUUAUUUCUAAAAUAUGUACAUAUUGCCCGUCGCUCUCAUUUUGAGAUAAGUCGUAACAAAGUAGAUUUACUGGAAAGUAAAUCUAGAAUUCA